rnacentral:rRNA from 1 species
UACGGAGGGGGCGAGCGUUAUUCGGAAUUAUUGGGCGUAAAGGGCGCGUAGGCGGCUCGAUAAGUCAAAGGUGAAAUCCCUCGGCUCAACUGAGGAACUGCCUUUGAAACUGUCGAGCUCGAGUCCGGGAGGGGGUAGCGGAAUUCCCAGUGUAGCGGUGAAAUGCGUAGAUAUUGGGAGGAAUACCAGUGGCGAAGGCGGCCUUCUGGACUGACACUGACGCUGAGGCGCGAAAGCCAGGGGAGCAAACGGG